rnacentral:rRNA from 1 species
UACGUAGGGGGCGAGCGUUGUCCGGAGUUACUGGGCGUAAAGGGCAUGCAGGCGGUCAGGCGCGUUUUGUGUGACAGCGGAGGGCUUAACUCUCCGAGGAUACGAAAGACGGCGUGACUUGAGAGCGCGAGAGGGACACGGAAUUCCGGGUGGAGUGGUGAAAUGCGUAGAGAUCCGGAGGAACACCGAAGGCGAAGGCAGUGUCCUGGCGUGCAUCUGACGCUGAGGUGCGAAAGCCAGGGGAGCGAACGGG